UUGAAGAGAGAGAGUGUAAUUAUCAAUUUUUUUUUUUUAAAAGAGAAGAAUUUUUUGAGUUCUUGUACUUGGGAAAAAUCUGGGCAGUAAUGAACAUUGUAGAAUUAUUUUAGGGGAGGAAAUAAACAUUUUGAGUGUGGGAAAUACAUUUAUAAAGUCUCGGAUUGUGAUUCACCAUUUUUAUCCAAGAAAAUGCAUAUUCUUGGAUAAUUUUGGAUUUAAGUGUGUUCAAGAGUGUAUGGUGUGCGUGGUUGGUGAUAAACAAGCUUAGGGUACUCAAAGAAUCGAUUUUGAUGUGAAGAAACAGGCUGAAAUGGUCUAGAGCAAGAAAAAGCAAUUUUGAGCUCCAUUGUUGGCGGUACACCGGCGUUGGAGAAGAAGACUUCGACCAAGGCGGCUGUGGCGUGAUUUUUGUGUCUUAGGGUCGUUUUGGACUGCUGGAACACGUGAGGGAAGUUUUCAAGUGGUUUGAAACGUUGGGGUAGCCGGAAACGAAAGAAACAACCUCGCCGGCGCCGAAGAAAACAACAACUCCGGCGAGAGCUCCGGCAAACCCGAUCUGGGUGUUUACUGAGGAGCUAGCGAUCGUCGAGGUGACGCAGCGAGUGGUUUGAGACACGUCAGCAGAAAACGUACUAUUUAAGGUAAAGGCAAAGCAAAGCAAUGAAUGGUGCGGGCUCGAGGCAUGGACAGAACAUGUUAGAGGCUGGACUCCAGUUAUUUUAUGUUUUUAGAAAUAAAUGUUAUGUUUUUAAAUUUUCAGACUUGAAUGGUUAUUUUAUUUAUGUUGUUUUUAUUAAA